AGGAAAUUCCCUCUGUGUCCCCUGGCCAUGCUGCUGGGGCCUCAGUGCUGAGCCAGGCAGGCGGAGCUGGGCUGGGCUCCCUGCCUGGGGGGGCUAGUGACAUAGACGUAUUGCUUGCAGCUCCUCUGCGUCAGUGUGUUCCAGCCUGUUCCAGCAACUCCACCCCCCACCCUACAGGGCGACACAGCCCAGGGGUGAGGGUGCAGAGAUUUGCUGUGUGUUACUCCAAUACAGUGCAGUCUGCCUCUCCAGCUGCCAGUGCUGCGUGCAGCGGGGGCUGCAUGGGUUAGAGGCGAGGGCCCGCCCAACAUGCCAGCCGGACCAUCCCUGCUGCUGGUGGCCACUGGGAGGAGUCUGCGCCCCUCGGACCGAGCAGGAGAGCAGACAGAGGGAUGAAAAGCGGUAAACAGACCAUCUAUCAUAACAUUCUCAUGCUGGGAUCCAGCAACCUCCGUCAGCAGGCAGCCAGGAACAGAC